GAAAGCUGACGAAGCUUACACAUGCAAGUCGCACUCGAGUCUUCGGACUUGGGUGGCGCACGGGUGAGUAACGCGUAAAGAACUUGCCUCUUAGACCGGGACAACAUCUGGAAACGGAUGCUAAUACCGGAUAUUAUGGUUUUUUCGCAUGGAGGAAUCAUGAAAGCUAGAUGCGCUAAGAGAGAGCUUUGCGUCCCAUUAGCUAGUUGGUGAGGUAACGGCCCACCAAGGCAAUGAUGGGUAGCCGGCCUGAGAGGGUGAACGGCCACAAGGGGACUGAGACACGGUCCUUACUCCUACGGGAGGCAGCAGUGGGGAAUAUUGGACAAUGGACCACAAGUCUGAUCCAGCAAUUCUGUGUGCACGAUGACGUUUUUCGGAAUGUAAAGUGCUUUCAGUCGGGAAGAAGUCAGUGACGGUACCGACAGAAGAAGCGGCGGCUAAAUACGUGCCAGCAGCCGCGGUAAU
rnacentral:rRNA from 1 species